UUUCAUAUUUACAUUUUUUGUUUACCUGACUACAAUUUGAAAUGUUAAUAAAAUGUACGUAUUGAAGGUUGAAAAAACUCAUAAAAGAUACCAGUCUUGUUUUGGUUAAGUUAUAUUCAUUUUAUAUUCAGAAACAAGCAAAUAAAAGGAGUUCCGAUAUCAUUAGGAAGAUUUGCGGUUAAAACGUUCAAACAUCGUCCUUUGUGAAAUUGUUUAACAACAUGUUUCAUUGUUGAUGAUUCGUGCUCCUAGUUUAAUCCGGUACCUACUACAUUCCUUGUUUGGAAAAUCCAAAGCAUAUACAGUUGUUUUUGCACAGCUAAAAUAGUCAUGGAAAGUGUACCUAUCCAAACGAAAAGUAAAAUACUAAUUCAAAAGGAGUGUACAUUUUUGAGGCAGGAAAGUCAGAUGUCCUUUUCUCCAACAUUUUUCUAACUUUAUGUAGGUUGAUUGAAAGCUAUAUAACUAAAAUGCUCGCAAAUAGUUUUAACUCUCAGCUUGCUUUAUCUACAAAAUGAAGUUAUUACCGACAGGAAUCUUGAUAUUUGCUGUUUUUCAACUGGUCUCUCAAAGCAUGGCACAAUGUGAUUUCUGCAUUAAUUAUGUUGAUCUUGAAAUAUGUGGCAUGAAAAAAGCAAGGAAGUGUCCUCAUUUACAGAAAAAGGCUAAAAGUUAUGAGCAAUGCGUUGAACGUUCAGAGAGACGUGAGCAACAGUACAUUUAUGAAACAGUUAGGGAAUGAUUGAAACAACAGGACAGACAUUUAAAUGCAGAUCAAAACUCGAUAUUUCCAUACUUGCGAACUACUUCGAUACUUUAAAACUGAUGUGGGUAUCAAUGACAAUGACUUACAGAUACAGUUUAAAUAUCAACAUACAUUUUGUAAUUUAUUUGAAUAAAUGAAUCUAACGUU